UUUGGACUUCGUCAUUUUCCAUU
rnacentral:miRNA from 2 species